GGACAUUGAGGCAGCCCGAGGAAAAAAGUGAACCCAGAGUUGAUCUCUGCACCACGCCAUCACUGCUGGUGGUGAGGAAAUGGUGCCUCUUUCAGUGAUAUGAAGUUAAAACCAGGAGGGAAGAUCAGUGGAGCCUUCUUUCUGCCAUCUUGUGUUACCUUUGCAGCCAAGAAUCAGAAUGAAGAACUUUCAAUAAGAAAAGCUUUCAGAACCAGGAAGGACGUAGAAGAUGUCCUGGUUCUGUACGUUUAACAUUGGACUGUUUCUUCAACUUAGGUGCAUAACAGUGACUAAUCAGGGAUUAUCAUAGAUAAUUUGACUUGGAAUAUAGAGUUCAUUCAAAUACUUUAUCUAGACAAUUUAAGUACUGGCUGAUUUGGCAUGAAAAUCUGACAAACUAUUUUCUUGGUAUUCAAUUGAUUUUUACUCUGUUUGCUGUAGUAGUUUUAUAAACCAAUCAGUCUUCAUUAAAGUUCUGGGAAUUCUUACCCUGUUCAAAUGAUAUGAUUCUAACGUUGUCAAAAAUCUGUAUUCAAGAAUACUUCUCAGGACCUUUUCCAUCCUUUCAUGAAACUCCUUAAAGAUACAGUAUUCUAUAAUUUUGCAAGCUUGUAAAGUUUUCAGAAUUUGAAAUGCCUCACAAUUAAGCAAUUUACUGUAGAAAUGAUUUUAAAUUUUCAUAGACACAGUUGACAAGAAAAUUUUAUUAUUUACAGGAGUGACCCACCACACCAGGCCUCUGAAGUUCAUUUAAUAAAAUUUUAUAAAUAAAUUUAUCAAAUGUGUCAUCUUUGAAUCCCAGAUUUUUGUGAGCCUAUGCUUUAGAUUUUCCCCCAACUUUCUCUAUUUAUCUAGUUGUAUCUAUUUUUUACUUCUUCAAUUUGAAACCUUAAGUAACUUAAAAAAAUUAAAACACAUUUUUUGCCUUUAUAAGUUUUCUAAUCAAAAGUUUAUCUUCACAAGUCUGUAAUCCCAGCACUUUGGGAGGCCAAGACAGGUGCAUCAGUUGAGGUCUAGGGAUUGAGACCAGCCUGGCCAACAUGGUGAAACCCUGUCUGUACUAAAAAUACAAAAAUUAGCCCAGUGUGGUGGUGAGCACCUGUAAUCCUAGCUACUUGGGAGGCUGAGGCAGGUGAAUCGCUUGAACCCAGGAGGCAGAGUUUGCAGUGAGCUGAGAUCAUGCCACUGCAUGCCAGCCUGGGCAACAGAACAGGACUCGGUCUAAAAUAAUAAUAAUAAUAACAAUAAA
rnacentral:lncRNA from 1 species